GUAGUCCACGCCGUAAACGAUGAGUACUAGGUGUCGGGUGAAGAACUCGGUGCCGAAGUUAACACAUUAAGUACUCCGCCUGGGGAGUACGCUCGCAAGAGUAAAACUCAAAGGAAUUGACGGGGACCCGCACAAGCAGCGGAGCAUGUGGUUUAAUUCGAAGCAACGCGAAGAACCUUACCUAAACUUGACAUACCAAUGACAGCCUUUUAAUCGAGGACUUUUACCUUCGGGUAGACAAUGGAUACAGGUGGUGCAUGGUUGUCGUCAGCUCGUGUCGUGAGAUGUUGGGUUAAGUCCCGCAACGAGCGCAACCCUUGUCGAUAGUUACCAGCAGUAAGAUGGGGACUCUAUCGAGACAGCUAAGGACAACUUAGA
rnacentral:rRNA from 1 species